rnacentral:lncRNA from 1 species
CAUCCCCAUAACAACCAUGUGAUUAGGUAGGUACUAUUAAUAUCUUUAUUUCCAUUUUGCUGAUGAGAAAACUGAGGCUUAGAGAGCUCAAAUAACUUGCUCAAGUCACCUAGCCUGCCUGAUUAAAACCUAGAGUCUGCUCCAGAAUCUAGGCUCUUAUCCACUUUGUUAUGCUGCCUUAUUAAAUAUUUUAAUCACAAAAUUUUAAAGUAUUUAAUUCAAGAUGGUGGACAAAGUAGGCACCUGCUGCUUUGAUUCAACCAUCUUGCUAAGACCUGGAAAGUUCCUUCCUGUCCCAGUUUU